AUUGAACGCUGGCGGCAUGCUUUACACAUGCAAGUCGAACGGUAACAGGUUAAGCUGACGAGGCGCGAACGGUAAAGUAAUGCAUCGGAACGUGCCCGUACGUGGGGGAUAACCCUUCGAAAGAAGUGCUAAUACCCCAUACGAUCUGAGUAUGAAAGCGGUGGACCGUAAGGCCUCGCGCGACUGGAUCGGCCGAUGUCAGAUUAGGUAGUUGGUGGGGUAAAGGCUCACCAAGCCGACGAUUUGUAGCUGGUCUGAGAGGACGACCAGCCACACUGGGACUGAGACACGGCCCAGACUCCUACGGGAGGCAGCAGUGGGGAAUUUUGGACAAUGGGCGCAAGCCUGAUCCAGCAAUGCCGCGUGCAGGAAGAAGGCCUUCGGGUUGUAAACUGCUUUUGUACGGAGCGAAAAGGCUCCCUCUAAUACAGGGGGUUCAUGACGGUACCGUAAGAAUAAGCACCGGCUAACUACGUGCCAGCCGCCGCAGUAA
rnacentral:rRNA from 1 species